rnacentral:rRNA from 1 species
CCUACGGGUGGCAGCAGUGGGGAAUAUUGCACAAUGGGGGAAACCCUGAUGCAGCGACGCCGCGUGCGUGAAGAAGUACUUCGGUAUGUAAAGCUCUAUCAGCCGGGAAGAAAAUGACGGUACCUGAGUAAGAAGCCCCGGCUAACUACGUGCCACCAGCCGCGGUAAUGCGUGGGGGGCAAGGGUUAUCCGGAUUUACUGGGUGUAAAGGGAGCGUAGACGGCAGUGCAAGUCUGGAGGGAAAGGCGGAGGCUCAACACCCGGACGGCUCUGGAAACUGUACGGCUGGCGUGGAGGGAGGAGAAGGUGAAAUCCUAGGUGAGCGGUGAAAUGCGUAGAUAAUAGGGGGAAAACCAGUUGCGAAGG